rnacentral:rRNA from 1 species
AUUGAACGCUGGCGGCAGGCCUAACACAUGCAAGUCGAGCGGAUGAAGGGAGCUUGCUCCUGGAUUCAGCGGCGGACGGGUGAGUAAUGCCUAGGAAUCUGCCUUGUAGUGGGGGAUAACGUCCGGAAACGGGCGCUAAUACCGCAUACGUCCUGUUGGAGAAACUGGGGGCUCUUCGGACCUCACGCUAUCAGAUGAGCCUAGGUCGUAUUAUCUAGUUGGUGGGGUAAUGGCCUACCACGGCGACUCUCCGUAACUGGUCUGAGAGGAUGAUCAGUCAAACUGGAACUGAGACACGGUCCAGAAUCCUACGGGAGGCAGCAGUGGGGAAUAUUGGACAAUGGGCGAAAGGAUGAUCCAGCAAAGCAGCGUGUGUGAAGAAGGUAUUAGGAUUGUAAAGCACUUUAAGUUGGGAGGAAGGGAAGUAAGUUAAUACCUUGCUGUUUUGACGUUACCAACAGAAUAAGCACCGGCUAACUUCGUG